GGGAGGACCCCUUGUCACCCCCGCAGGGCUAGGGUCACGGCGCCCCGCCGCGCGCCCCUCGAACCCCCGGAUUCCGCUACUCCGGCGCCUGUUGUGGGGGGUCUAAGGCGAUGCUGCCCCCCACUCGGCGGGUCCGACCCAAUUUCGGCGGGGUCGGCGGAAGGCUCCCCCCCUGGAGCUUGCCCAAGUGGUAGGGCCCGCUCGACUGCGGUCACGUGGGCGCCUCCUCUGUGACGUCGGCCGCUUCAAUGUAGCAAAGCUCGGCCUCUGGAAUUCUGAGAACUAAUUUGCUAUUCGGUGACAUAAGAGGGGGGAGCGCGCCGCCCGCCCGGGGUCCGGGGCUCCUUCCCUGUCUCGCGCCCAUAAACACCACCACCACGUCCACGUCCACGAGCGCAGGGCACCCCCGGGGGGCAGGGGCUCCCGAGCCAGACAAUAAACACGCAUCCAGGGCACGGGGAGAGAGGCCAGAGGAGGCAGAGGGCGAGCUUGCCACCUAGAAUCUCAGCACGUUGGCAAAGCCGUGUUGAAAAAGCAUUUGACUCAGUGGAACAAAGGACUGCCUUACAGGCUCCUUUACCAGAAGGUGCCUCAUAGCCAUCCAUCAAUCAAAAUCAUUCCAGAUUUCUUAGAAGAUGUAACAACAAAAGCAUCCCUUUUUGAUGACUCUCAUGAUAAACAUCAGCACUCACUCAUCUCUCACUUGGACUACUGUAAAAACCUUUUGACUGAUCUCUCUGCCUUCAAGAGCUUCAAUAGAUCAAUACGGUCCUGUCGGAUGGAUCCUUCUUUGUGCACAUGUGUGCAACCUCUCAGACUGGUUAACAGCCGCCUGUAUCCCAGGGACUUUGCUGGGGAUACAGGGAGGAAAAACAAGAGCAUCCCUGACCUCUAGGCAUUUGCUGUCUAUAUGUAUUGCUGAUGAAGAUUUGUUGAUUGAUUAAAGGAUAGUGAAGAGACAGCAUGUGCACAGGUGACUUAAUAACUCAUGAUCAUGAACUACAAAGGCUUGGAAGAUACCUUCUGCAGUGUCAGAAAGUGUGCCCCCCCCCCAAGGAAAUAAGAAGACUCCCGAAGUGAUGAAGGACUGCCUGGAAAGAGAUCAGGCUAUCACAGGUUUGAAAUGAGGAGGGAACUCGGAAGCAACUAGAAGGAAUUGAGGCCAGAGAAUUUCAGUGACUGGCCCAAGGUCACUUAGAAUCGUCAAGGGCACCAUCUGUCUUCCUGUUAUCUCGGCUCACAAACUAGAAGUCAUCGUGGAGUCUUCACUCUCACUCCUUUCCUGGCCGAAUUCUCCCAGUUGCACCUCUUCAGCACCUCUGGAACCUACUCAUUUCUCUUUGCUCACAACACACCCAUCCUGGACUAGGACGGCAUUACCUAUCACCUAGACUCCUGAUGGCAGGAACUUCUACUUGGAGAUCUCUCUGAAUCCAUCUUUCCUCUCCUCUGAUCCUAUCUCUACAUAGUUGCCUCAUUGCAGUUCCUAUAGAACAGGUCCAACCAGGCCAUUCUCCUGUUCCUCCAAGCUUCAGUGGUUCCUCCUUGCUUCUAGGCUAAAAUACAAGUGACUUGACUUCCUUCAGCAUUCAAAUGCCUAUAUAAUCUGACUUCAGCCUACUUUUCCAGGCUAUUUACGUAUUAUUCAUCAGCACACACUUCAGAUGGUAUCAUGUAACGUAUCUCUAAGACUUCCACUGCCCUGCUCAGAUUUCCUGUUGUAUUCCAGCUUGUUAGUGUUCUGCUUUAAAAAUGUGACCCAUACAAUGACACAUGGAAAAGCCAGUGGAAUUGGGCGGCAGUUAUGGGAGGGGGUUUGGGGGACGGGAGGGAAAGGACACGAAUCUUGUAACCAAGGAACAAUCUUCUAAAUGAACUAAUUAAAUAAAAAUUUCCCCCCAAAAUAAUAAAAUAAAAUAAAAAUGUGAUCCAUAGCAUCGACUACAAUAUUCCAACAGUGGCCAAACCAAAGCAAAGUACCUUGGGACAACCAUCUACUUCAUACUGGGCACCAACGCCUUGGUGAACAGCAUCUAAGUUCAACCCAGCUUUCUCACCUGUCAGAUAACUUUGUCAACUCAUUUUGAACUGGAAGCCCCCUAGAUCCUCCUCCUCCUCGGAAAAACAGUACUUCACAAGACACUCUCACAACACACCCAUCCUGGACUAGGACGGCAUCACCUAUCACCUAGACUCCUGAUGGCAGGAACUUCUACUUGGAGAUCUCUCUGAAUCCAUCUUUCCUCUCCUCCGAUCCUAUCUCUACAUAGUUGCCUCAUUGCAACCCUAGACCUCUGAAGUUCAUGGUUUGAACCCAAGAGUACACUUACUUUACAUUUAUCCCUCAUAUUCCAUCCUAUUGGACAGCCUGGUGUACUGUAGGAACCUUAUCCAUCACACAUGGGCAGCCCAGCAUGUGCUUAAAUAACUCCAAGGCCAGGAGCCACUGCUUUCAGGAUAGAUCCAUAGGGUUUGUUUGGCAUAGUGGAAGGGGGCUUGGUUUUGUAGUCAGGUCCCAGGUCUACAUGUGUGACUUGGGGCAAGUCUUCAGUUUAGCUACCUCUAAAAUGAAAUGAUGGACCUCGAAUAUCCCUUCCAAUCCCGAAUCUAGUAUUUUAUGUUGGUGACAUACAUCACGACCUAUGGGGAGAGGACUGGGGACUCCUCUGCUCUCCAUGCCCUUCUAUGUUCCUGCCAGGCACUUUCCUCCAAAGCUUUUCAGCUGAGGAUACCCACUGGUUCGACUUGAAAUCCCUGCCGUGCACUGAUGGAGAAUGAAGACAACGUAUGCCAAGUGAAUGCAGCCAUCUGCACGUUUGGUUUGUUAACUACCUAGGGAGGGUUUUUUUAAAGUAGGCAUUUAUUUGGGGGCACUUAUUUGAAGGAUGUCUUAAGGAGGGUUCCUUGCUGUCAGUGUACCUAAAAAGUAUGAAAUGAGAAAUGUGGAGGAUUUCACAUUAAGAAAGUCUUCCUUCUUUUAGGUUCUCCAUUGGCUCAACUUUUGAGCAUCCAAGAUCUGAAACAGCACUAGAAAUAAGUUCACAGGAAGCAAAUGGUGGAGGUUUACUUUCUUCAUUUUCUUCAGUCAUCAAAAGUCCCUAUCAGAAGACCAGGGAAAUAAAAGCCUGAAGAGUUUGCGGGUCCAAACCGCUGGCCUUUUCCUGGAAAGCUCUGUGGCAUCAUUCUUGGAAUGAAAAAGAAUGAUCACACAGACCAGGAACACAAUGGCAUUCUCUCUGAGUUCUAGCUGUUCACUCAGACUGCAUUGGUUAGUAUCACUUCCCUUUUCUCCCAGGCACACUCAAAAUACUUGCAUUUGGGUUUCCCAAGUGAUGGAAAAAAGGCUUAAAUUCCUUCUUCCUAUCACCUAACAAGAACCCCUUUCUGUACAUUAAGCAACAACAUCAAAAGCUGCCUCCUUGGAUUUCUUCGAUUAAAUUUUCUGGGUGUUUUUUUAAAUUUUAUUUUAAUGAGAAAUAAAUCUCACUCAUGAGCCAAGUUCACACUGUUUUCUAUCACUGAGAAGAAGGUCAUAGUGACCCAGCAAGGAGAGCUGCCUAAGUUCCCCACCCCAGUCACAUUGAGCUCGGACCUGAAAGCAUGGAGCACAUCUGUAGACAUUCUUUUGGAUUCAAUGCUUUCUGCCCAUCUGCGAACCCAGAGUGCCCUCAGAAGCCUUCCUUUGGCUCUCCACUCCCCGGGAAUCGCGGCUCUAUUCAUCUAAGACCCAUCUAUGCCUUGGACACCACCAGCAAAUCCAAAUCAGUAGGACUGUCAGAGACCCCUAACCAGAGUGGGGUGAGGAUGAGAACUUCCAUGGGAGAGGGAAGCCUCUUGGUUGGCCAUUCCAAUGGUGGCUCCAUAGUCACCACCUACAUGGCCCAAUGCCCCGAUGAUCACACAUCGCCCUGAGAUUCAGCCACACUACCUGAACUGGAAGGUGCUUCGAGUCUUUCUUCAUGGGUGCAGCAUCCUCACUUGUCACGAUGUCCAGCUUGUUGUGUUCAACAGCUCCGGGAGCCACCUGGGUCCCCCUCCAGUUGUUUUCUCUCAGUUAGAUCCAGGAAAGCCCAGCCUUGCUUCGAAUGAGCAUGGACUAUCACUAGCCAGUGUGGGAGCCCUGAGCAAUGGAUGCAUAAUUACACUAGUCAGAUUGAUGCAGGUUCUGUUGAGAAAUACUUCUUUUUAAGGAAGUGCAACCUUUUAACUUCUCCGUUUGAGCAGGCAAUGGGCCAAGAAGAAGGAGAGCUCUGGAUUAAGUCAUAGAAAAGUCGAUGGACCUGUGCGGACACACAAGCCUACAGCAAUCCCAGAACCCUUAAGAUCCUGAAAUCCGAAAGUGCUACCCAAAUAGUGUCAUCAGAAUGAUUAUUAUUCCCCAGGACCACCCUUGGAUACUGGAACAUUCCUGCCAUGUCCUCAUUGAGUAUUCCUUUCUCUAGGCUAAACAUUCUCAGUUUCUCCAACUUACUCUCUUAUGGUCUGAGUGAGCCCCCCAAUCCCCACUCAGACAUCUCUCUCCUGCCCCGAGGAUACAAUAUAAGCAGCCUUGUUUAGCUUCAAAACCCUUCUCUAGCCCUCCUCUCUAGGCUUAUUCCACAUGAGACUCCUUCACAAAUCUACAUUUUAGCAAAAUUGGCCUACUUAUGGUUCUCUGCAAACAACAGUCCAUUUCCCACCUCCACGACUCAGCCCACAUUCAGCUCUCCAUCCCCGAAUGUUUUUCCUCCCCAGUUUCCUCUCUUGGAGGCUCCUCUCUUCUUCUAGGUUCAAAGAUCCUGUCUACACUGCUGAUACCCCCUUAAAUAAGCAGUUCGGAUCUCUCUCCUGAGCUUGUACUUGUAUCUGGAAGCCUUGGUACCAAACUUUCUUUGCAAAGUGCAACAAAUCUUGUUCAUUUUUAAAAAUACUUCCCUUCCGUCUUGGAGUCAAUACUGGGUAUGGGUUCCAAGACAGAAGAGUGGUAAGGGCUAGGCAAUGGGGGUCAAGUGACUUGCCCAGGGUCACACAGCUGGGAAGUAUCUGAGGCCAGAGUUGAACACAGUACUUCCCAUCUCUGGACCUGACUCUCCAUCCACUGAGCUACCCAGCUGCCCCCUCAUUCACUCAUUCUUACUUUACCACCUGCAUAUUGGACAUGUCGAUAUGGACGACGUCCCACAGGCAUCUCAAAAGCCCCGUGUCCCAAAGAAAACUUACUUUCUUUUCCUUAGAUCCGUCCCCUUCUUAACUUCUCUGCUUCUCUCAAGAGCAUCCCUUCUCUCCCAGGCGUCCAGGCAGUCUUCUCACUGGCCCCACCUUUCCAGUCUGAUGUCUGUCACAUCUUGUCAAAUCUGAUCCUCCCUCCACAACAUUGCUCACCUUUGAGCCUUUCUCUGCACUCCCACAAAUGCCAAGACAGUUUGGGUUCUAAUCAACUUCCCUCUAGACCAGAGGUCAGGCCAACUUCAGCCUGCCACUUGAGCUAAGAAUGAUUACGCUGAAAAAUACAGUAAAACUUUAUUUUUAAAUUAGACAACAAACAAGCCCCAAGACAAACAAAACCAUUCUAAGCUGGACAUCGAGCAGAGAAGAAGCUGUCCGUAUCUUUGGUCCACAGCCAUGUUGCCAAAGCCUGUUCUAGACUAUGAAUAGCCUUUCACUGGUCCCCUCUUUUCAAGUCCCUCCCCACUCCCAGUCCGUACUCCACAUGGAGAACAAAAUGAUUUUCCUAAAGUAAAGGUCUGAUCCUAGUACUCCGACUCUACAAAUUCCAGUGGCUCACUGUUGUCUCCAAGAAAUAACUGAGAGCCAUCUCUCUGGCAUUUCACAUAGCUUCCUUUUGGGUCAGUCCUGUCCGUUCCUCCCUUGGAUUCUCGCUAUCAUCCCGCCAUACUGGUUUUGUCAUGGUGACACACUGUUUUCUGUCUCUGUGCCUUUAUGUUGACGAUUCCCCAAGCCCAGAAAGUUCUCUGUCUUUAUGCCCACCUUGUAGGAUACCUGGUUCUUGUCAAGACCCUCUGCGUGAAGUCUUUCCUGACCUCUAAGUUUUCAUCCCUCCCUCCAAGACGAUCAUGUACCCAUUUGUACAUGCUUUGGACAUUCUUAUAUAUGCACAGGGAUUCCCCUCCAAUAGCAUGGGAGCUCCAUGUGGGCAUUUUUUUGCCUGUGUAUUCCUUGUCCAAACCCAGUGUCUGGACCACAGCAGGCUUCAAACUCCUUUUUGACUGGUGGAUCAUGACCGCCUUUAUUCUCUUGGGUGUGCUUAUUUCCUCUGUGAAAUAGGCUGGUCAUACAGUGUCAUGCUCAUUUGAUCAGUGGACCACUGUAAUAAGGACUCUGGAUCCUUAUAGGUUAUUGGUAUUGGCAUAGGUGUUUCCAACACCCGUGUCCUGAGGGACUGGCAGGCAUCUCCGUGUCCCUCGUCUACCACACCAAGACACAAUAGUCUUAUGGGAGGGAAAAUAUUGUUGGCAAGCUUUUUAAAAAUUUUAUCUCAUUGAUUAAUUUAGAGCAUUUUCCCAGGAUGACAAGAAUCAUGUUCUUUCCCUCCCCUCCCUCCACCCCCUCCAUUAGCCGGCCCACAAUUCCACUGGGUUUUACAUGCAUCUUUGGUCAAGACCAGUUUCCAUAUUAUUGAUAUUUGCACUUGGUGAUUGCUUAAUAUCCAUCCCCAGACCUAUCCCCAUCGGCCCAUGUGAUUAAGCAGUUGUUUUUCUUCUGUGUUUCCGCUCCCACAGUUCUUCCUCUGGAUGUGGAUACAUUCUUUCUCUUGAGUCCCUCAGGGUUGUCCUGGGUCACUGCACUGCUGCUAGUAGAGAAGUCCAUUAUGGGAGGGAAAGUAUUAAGUAAAGAUUUCUUCAGUUCAGACAUUCAGAUGAUUCAGCUUGAAAGCAGACACAAGUGAGAUCCUGACACUUAAGCAACAAAUAUGUCCAGUUUCAUGUGAUACGCUCACAUAAAGAGAAAUCCACACAGCUCUUAUCAGCUCAAUGACAGUAUCUCCCUCAACGGGCGAGGCUUCCUGAUUUUAAUAGUGAGUCAGCCAAUCAUCUUAAUUAUCAUCAGCUUCAUUUCCUCUUCCCAGGAGAGGCUUCCUGUAUCUUGUACUUUCAGGUUUGCCUUGCUGGCCACCUCUGCCCAGCCAGCCACAGCUCCUAUUCCCCCUCCCCCUCCCCCUGCCUUGUCAACCCUAAACCUGGAUUCAGCCAUGUUCUACCUCGAAGCAGUUUUCCUCCUCUGUGCCACCUAAGCUGGCUCCUCUGGCCCUCAAAGGGACAGACACAUUUUUACCUCCCCCUUAAAAUCUUAAUAGAUGCCAGACAAUCGUGGGAUCCCAUGGUGGGAAGGGACUUCAAUGGCCAGUGAGGCCAACUUGGACCUAAACAGGUCUAAGAGAAAAAGCCUGUCUGCUAAGUGAUCAUCCACCUUCUGCUUAGAGUUAAUGGUUGAGAAGGAAGCCCUGAUUUCACUGCGGCUGCCUAUUCUAGUCCCAGAGAGAGUUGGAGUUGGGUUUUUGGAAACAGGUCCCUUCCAUCUAGUCUAUAUUUCCCUCUUUGCAUCUUCCACCCAUUGCUCUGAAUACCAAGGAGGAAAGUCUAAUCCUUCUUCCAAAGGUAGCCUUUCAACUAUCUUCAAGAUGGCUCCCCAGGUCUUCUCUUCCCUGCGUCAAACAUCCCCAUUUUCCUCAAUUGGUGCUUGGAAGACAGCGCCUCCAGAACCCCUUACCAUCUGGGUCAGCAUUUUCUGCAUGCUCUCAUUGUUCACCAUCAUCACUUCCUAAAAUUCGAUGUCCAGAGCUAAGGACAACAUUUCACACGCAGUCCGACUGCAGCAGACUGGCCCAGAGGAAUGAGCAUCUCCUUCCUCCGCCAUGCUAUGCUUCUCUUAUGGUAUAUACAUGGCCCUAGCUUUCUUGGUUGCUAGCUUAUACUAUUGUCUCAUAUUGACUUCCCCAUCUUCCCUAUCACAUCUCUCUUUUCUCUCCCAACUAUACACCCAUGGUCCCACCAUACAGGCUUCACUGAGCUCCACUGGCUUUCCUCCUCUUAGCAUCCCUGGUUUCCUUCAAAGCUCAGCUGGAGCGCUCUCUUCUUAACGGAGUCUUUCCUGGGUGCUCCCCUCUUCCAGGGUUCUUCUGCUCUAGUGCCUUGGUUCUGGCCACAUAUGAGAUACAUCUUGUAUCUCUACUCAUAUAGUGUACCCUCUUCAAGGCAGAGAUGGUCACGCUUCUGUCUUGGGAUCCUCACAGUGCCUCACACACAGAGGGGACGUAAGAAAUGAUUGUUGAUUGAUAUGGGCAGGAUACUACGACUAUUUUAAAUGGCUUCUAUAUGAAUUGCUCUUCGGCCAUGCCUCCCCUUCUUUUUACUUGGGACCUUGGAUUUUUGCAUCCAAAAAUAAAAAAAAAAUGAAUUCCAUCUUAUUUGCUGGUCCAUCUUUCCAGCUCAUUUAAUUUUUUGGAAUUUAAUACGUUGCUUAUUCUGCCUAAUUUUAUACUGAGGGAAAAUGCAGCAUCCCCUCCAAUAGCUUUGCUUUACAAUCCCCCCAAAUGGGGUCAUGAACAAUUGGACAUGACAGAAGCAACUGAACAAUAACAACACCGAUAGGCUUCCUUCCUUCUCACUGCCCUUCCCCAAUUAUUUCCUUGAGAUUAUGGAACUUGUCUGACUUUUUUCCUCCUUCUACAAAGGAAUCCUUCAAUAGUUUGAUAUGUCCCUGGAUAAUAAAUUAGGUAGCAUUAUUUUAUAAUAUUGGCUUUAUUUACUGAUUAUUUUUAUACUUUGUAUUUUAAAUAACCAGUUUACAGCUUAAAGAAUCUAUGUUUUCUCUAGUGCAUUCCCCAAGAUUAUUGUGAUCUCAGUGGUCAUAUCACAUAGCUCUUUCAAUACUUCAAAGUGCAGUUCAUACCAGCCUGCUGAGCCGAGCCCUUGGAGGGCAGUUAGAGGCUUUCUAACCACCUCCUUGUUUUUCCUUGUUUCCAAUUCCCCUUUAGACAUUUCUUCCCAUCCUUCCUAGCCCAGAGAUUCUGAGCAGAGCAAACAGAACUAAAACUAGAGUUUGAUUAUGCUUUCUCUCUGUUAUCAGGCAUGACUUGAUCAUUCAGCACCAAGCUCCUCGUCCCUUUGUCCUCAAGAUGGCUUUAAAGGGUCACUUCUGCCACCAUUCAUUUACCUUGCUCUCCAGCUUCUUCUGGUUCUGCAGAAAAAAAUUCUGCAAGAAUUGGCCAGGCUUCUGAUUAAGAGGGCCUUGGUUUCCCCUUGUGUAAGAGCUGUGUGUCCAAACGAGUGCCCUCAAACCUUUUCUUCUUCUCGGAGAACAUUUGGGACUGCGUUCCCCGAGACUCACGGUCCCUCUUUC